GAGUAACUGAUGCACUUUUUACCUUUUUGAUCAAUGAAAGUCCAAGUUAUACUUGCAGUUAAAGCCUUUGGUUCCAUUUAUUUCCAUGAGAUCUUAAAGGUUUCCACACAAAU